rnacentral:rRNA from 1 species
GGUACAAGGGAGCUUGACUGCGAGUGCGAUGGCACGAGCAGAUGCGAAAGCAGGGCUUAGUGAUCCGGCGUAGUCCGUGUGGCAGGGACGUCGCUCAACAGAUAAAAGGUACUCCGGGGAUAACAGGCUGAUCUUGCCCAAGAGUUCACAUCGACGGCAAGGUUUGGCACCUCGAUGUCGGCUCGUCGCAUCCUGGGGCUGAAGGAGGUCCCAAGGGUCCGGCUGUUCGCCGGUUAAAGCGGCACGUGAGCUGGGUUCAGACCGUCGCGAGACAGGUCGGUCUCUAUCCGCUGUGGGCGCAGGAGGCUUGAGGGGAGCUCUCCCUAGUACGAGAGGACCGGGAGGGACGGACCUCUGGUGUACCGGUUGUCCCGCCAGGGGCACUGCCGGGUAGCUAUGUCCGGAAGAGAUAAGCGCUGAAAGCAUCUAAGCGCGAAGCCCCCCCCAAGAUGAGGCCUCCCACCGGGUCAACCGGGUAAGGCCGCAGGUAGACUACCUGCUUGAUAGGCCGCAGGUGCAAGUCCGGUAACGGAUUCAGCCGAGCGGUACUAAUCGGCCGAGGGCUUGACCCAU